UACGUAGGGUGCGAGCGUUGUCCGGAAUUACUGGGCGUAAAGAGCUCGUAGGUGGUUUGUCGCGUUGUUCGUGAAAACCUGAGGCUUAACCUUGGGCGUGCGGGCGAUACGGGCAGACUGGAGUACUGCAGGGGAGACUGGAAUUCCUGGUGUAGCGGUGAAAUGCGCAGAUAUCAGGAGGAACACCGGUGGCGAAGGCGGGUCUCUGGGCCGUAACUGACGCUGAGGAGCGAAAGCGUGGGGAGCGAACAGG
rnacentral:rRNA from 1 species